rnacentral:rRNA from 1 species
UACGUAGGGUGCAAGCGUUAAUCGGAAUUACUGGGCGUAAAGCGCACGUAGGCGGUUCGUUAUGUCGGAUGUGAAAGCCCUUGGCUUAACCGAGGAAGUGCAUCCGAAACUGGCGAGCUAGAGUACUAAAGAGGAUCGCGGAAUUCCCGGUGUAGAGGUGAAAUUCGUAGAUAUCGGGAGGAACACCGGUGGCGAAGGCGGCGAUCUGGGUAGAUACUGACGCUGAGGUGCGAAAGCGUGGGGAGCAAACAGG